GACUGUGAAACCUUCUGCUGAUGCUGGAUCAUUCACAUCCCAUUCUCCAAACUUGGGCAAGGGGCGGCCUUUGUCCUGUCAUAAAUGUGAAACCAGAGAAACAAAAUUAAAAUUUCAAAAAUCAAUGCUUAAACCCUUUUGUGGCAAUACAUCAGAGAAACGUUGUGUGUUCACACGUUGUUAAGGGGCAUGUGACCUUUCCAAAAUGAGUUUAAAUACCAUCAACCAUAGGAGGUUUGUACAAUAGCUUAAACUAAUCAUCUUUCCAUUUCUCAGCAAACAUUAUACACACACUAAGUCAAAAAAGAUUACCAAAAACUAACCGUAAGAGAAGUUCCUUUCCACUUUAUUAGGUGACAAGCAAACGAAUUUUCAAACUAGUGAAAUCAAAUUUUUUGUCUCUAAAUUAAUUAUGCCUGUCCAUAAACACAAUAUUCAUAUGCCUCUUCACCUCUCAUAUAAACCAAGAACAAUCUCUGAAAAGUGAUCCGAGGAGACAACUUCUCUAAGCUAAGCUUUGAUCAAAAAAUAUCUAAGCUAAAAGACAAAUCAAUCCUCAUCAAAAGAACUCUUCCAAGUUGAUUUUUCUGUUAUAAAUCUAAGCUUAAUCAAACAAAUUCAAAAUUGAAUAGAAGCCAAAGAUCGAAACUUUAAAAGUUAUAAAUCA